rnacentral:tRNA from 1 species
UGUAGGGUGGUGAAACUGGCAAACACACCUCCUUGUCUCGGUGGCGGAGAAUAAUGGGAAAGCUCAAGCAAUUGGGUGAUAACCACUCCCUGAAGGUUCGACUCCUUCCCCUACAG